rnacentral:lncRNA from 1 species
CCUGCUAGUAAUCGACGACAUUAGGCAAGAGAAACAGCGGCUCCUCAAGUCCUGCCCAAAAACCGUCCAGAAACCCCAGCCUCCGGUCGCCUUCUCGCCGCCUCCGCUGGGAGCCGCAGAUCAGUCCAAGUUGACGGACAGGAGGCGAAAUGUGCAAAUGUUUACGGUUUCAUCUGUAUGGAAAAGGAACUCUGGUAACUUUGGCCAAGACUUUUCAGUAGGAAAUGCUUCAAAAUACAAAGCAAGAGCUAUUUUCAAGAAAGACCUUCUAAAUGUAUAUUAGGAUUAAGCGUCUGUAACGUUGCCACUCAUCGCUGAGGCUCCUGGUUUCAGCAUGUCUCCUUGGUUCCCAGCCAGCUCUGGGUGUUCAGGUAGCAGCUGUGUCUGGGAGUGUCUCUCCAGUCCACAUUCCUUGGCCAUGAAUUUUGCAGCCCUGUUUAUCUGAUGAAGACCUCCCAGUAGUGAAUUGCUCAUGACAUUGUCACACAGACCUUAAUGAAUGAUAUGGAAAGAUACUGAAUAUUUUUCCUCCCGGAAUGCCAACCAAUCUUCAGUGUCCCAGCGCCUUCACUCCAGCUGAUCAUGGCAAAGGCUUGGUACUGAGAUCCAGUGAGACCUUUGUCCUACAAAAACCACAUUCUCACUGGAUGCCUACAAGUCCUCUCUAUGGGACUGUUACCCAAGCCUGUUUACAGAAUUUUCAACAAUUACAUCUGCCCAUUUGCUGAGUCUCACUUCUCUGCACUAAUUGUUGACUUCAAUUUAUAUUUUUAAUGUACAAAUGCUAUCACCAACUUCAGUGCAUGAAGACCUCUCUUCCUUCUCUUCAAACCCAUGACUUUGCUUGGAAUAACAGGGAUGGCUUUAUGGCAUGGCUUUCUCAUUAUUUCAUGUGUCUUCAUUUUGCUUUCCCAAGCCAGAUUGUAAAUUCCUUGAGAGAGGAGACCCUGAAAACUAGAAAUACCUAUACAGACAGAUAGACAGUAAAAAAAAAAAAAAAAAAAAAAAAAAUUGGACAGAAAGACAUCUGUUGCCUAAGUAAUCCAGAAAAUUUGCCUUAACACGUUCAGAAGACAUAUUUGGCUAUAAUAUACAACUCCUCUCCUUUCCCCCGCCUGCCCUCUGCUGGAACUGCUAAUGAGCAGUAAGAUGGCAAAAGCAGGACAUUGUAUGGGAAAUGUGGGAAAACAGGGGCUAGUCUGACUAGAAGGUGAGUUGAGUAACUGUGAUUUGUGAGUCCACAAUGGGAAUCUUUGAAGUCCUUCAUGAUGUGCCUUUGUAUGACUAGCAACCUCCUCACAAGACUCUAUGGUUCACUGUGCACAAAGAUAUGAUUCUGCCUGCCUGCCUGAGAUAGAUCAAGUGACCUUGUGUGUUCUCUUCCUCCUCUGUGCUUGUUUCAUCUGCAGAACCAUCUGAUGGAUGGCAGACAGCUGAACCAGGUACUGCCCCUUCCCAAACGCAAAUGCCCUCCCCAUUCACCAUUCCCUAGAGCGUUCACUUCCUUCAUCUAUGAAAGGCAAUUACUAGGGUCUAGCAAGACUGCCAAUUUGGUAAUGCAAAGCAGGAGAUAAGUGUGAAACUCUAGACUGGUUUUCUGUUUCAAAGGGCAGCAGGAUGUGACAGCUGCUGAGGCAGCCCUUUGCCCUUGGAGAGGAGAAGCAGGAGUGUGAUCACUAGAUGACCUCUCCCUCCUGCUGUCUCCUGGGUGGUAGGGACAGUCUCUCUCCCAACUCUACUCUUGAUCAGGUGGCUACAUAUUAUGAAAAAGAGGAGGAAAAACAUGUUUUUGCUUUUAAAAUUAUUAUGAAGAGAGAGUACUCUUUGGGGAAGCAGAAUCCAUUAGCUGAAUUCAUUUCAGUAGCUAUGUUUAAUUAAGUUAGGCAGCCUUAAUGCAAUUUUAUUAUGUAGCCUUUAAGAGCUGUUCUGGUAAAUGCCCAUCCUAUAAAUACCAGCACUACUUUAUAUGUGUGAUAUCCUUUUUGGAAGGGCAAAUCUGAAUUAUUAUCCAGAUAUUAAUCUGCACACAACCCUAUCCAGACAAUGCAAAGAUGCUUCCUCAUAUUCUGGACAUUGUUCAAUACAUUCAGAAGGGGGAAAAAACUGCUCAGAUAUGACCUUCUACAUUUUAAGUCAGUGGAUAAGCCAGCCUGGUUGCAUCCCAAAACAUACUUCUGAACAUCAGUUUCACCUUACUACUGACCAAGUAAUUGAUUUCUGCAUUUCAUUAUGUAAAUUAAACACUAGACUUUGAAUUACUAGAAAUACACAGUUAGCCAAUAAACCUUUCUUAUAAAAUGACAGUAUUUUAAUUUAUUAGAUGCGUUGGCAUGUAUUCAUGCCUAAGAUUUCAUCAAUCAAUUUUCCAUUUUAAAAAGCUGUCUCUGGAAGCAACAGUGGAGAGAUGCUGAGUUCCAAAAGCAAUGUUGUGAAAGGCAGCAGGUCUAGCGUUCCAGGCACAUGCUUAACUAAAUUCUAGUCAAUAACCAUGUGGCUCCAAGUAUAAGCCCACAUUUUUUAAAGUAUCUACCUUCUGAACUGACUCUUUUGGAAUGUCAGAAUUUUAAAAAGAAAAUAUUUAAAUUUCUCUAUUUAAGAGGUGUGCAAUGUUUGUUCAAUAUUGGAGCAACCUCUGAUAUUAUUUUAAAAUAUUUAUUUUGCCACUUUGACAGCCUUCUACACUGCCCUUGGGUUUUAAUUUUGUUUACAGUACUAAACUUCAAUAGUUGGCUUCAGAUUAAAUGAAUAUUAGUA